rnacentral:rRNA from 1 species
UACAGAGGUCCCGAGCGUUGUUCGGAUUCAUUGGGCGUAAAGGGUGCGUAGGCGGCGGGGUAAGUCUGAUGUGAAAUCCCGGGGCUCAACCCUGGAACUGCAUUGGAUACUGCCUUGCUUGAGAACUGGAGAGGAGACUGGAAUUUACGGUGUAGCAGUGAAAUGCGUAGAGAUCGUAAGGAAGACCAGUGGCGAAGGCGAGUCUCUGGACAGUAUCUGACGCUGAGGCACGAAGGCCAGGGGAGCAAACGGG